UACGUAGGGGGCAAGCGUUGUCCGGAUUUACUGGGCGUAAAGAGCGUGUAGGCGGCCACGCAGGUCCGUUGUGAAAACUGGAGGCUCAACCUUCAGACGUCGACGGAAACCGUAUGGCUAGAGUCCGGAAGAGGAGAGUGGAAUUCCUGGUGUAGCGGUGAAAUGCGCAGAUAUCAGGAAGAACACCAAUGGCGAAGGCAGCUCUCUGGGCCAGUACUGACGCUGAGGAGCGAAAGCGUGGGGAGCGAACAGG
rnacentral:rRNA from 1 species